rnacentral:rRNA from 1 species
GGGAAUAUUGGACAAUGGGCGAAAGCCUGAUCCAGCCAUGCCGCGUGUGUGAAGAAGGUCUUUGGAUUGUAAAGCACUCUAAGUUGGGAGGAAGGGUUGUAGGUUAAUACCCUGCAAUUUUGACGUUACCAACUGAAUAAGCACCGGCUAACUUCGUGCCAGCAGCCGAGGUAAUACGAAGGGUGCAAGCGUUAAUCGGAAUUACUGGGCGUAAAGCGCGCGUAGGUGGUUCGUUAAGUUGGAAGUGAAAGCCCCGGGCUUAACCUGGGAAUUGCUUUCAAAACUGACGAGCUAGAGUACGGUAGAGGGUAGUGGAAUUUCCUGUGUAGCGGUGAAAUGCGUAGAUAUAGGAAGGAACAUCAGUGGCGAAGGCGACUACCUGGACUGAUACUGACACUGAGGUGCGAAAGCGUGGGGAGCAAACAGG